GAGAGAUGGUCGAGUGGUUUAAGGCAGCGGUCUUGAAAACCGCCGCGGGGUCUCCUCGCCGCGGGUUCGAAUCCCGCUCUCUCC
rnacentral:tRNA from 1 species